rnacentral:lncRNA from 1 species
AUGCUAACUCACACAAUUCCAUAUUCUAGAAAUAAAUCACAAGUGUACAUCAAGCCUCUGAUAAAGUACCCACUGCAGGUGCAGAAAUGCCACUGUUUGUGCAUGUGCCACAGAUUCUAUACCUUAUUUUCAAAGUGCCUCAACCAACCUCUCUUUAGAUAUUUUAUCAAAUUACUAAACUACCCCCUGCAGGUGCAGAAAUGCCACUGUUCGUGCAUGUGCCACAGAUUCAUUUACACCUUAUUUUCAAAGUGCCUCAACCAACAUUUCUUUAGAUAUGUUAACUUCUUAAAUUACUAAACUACCCCCUGGUGUCUACACAGGAACCAAACAGUUCAAAGAGCAGAGUUCCGUACAGUACAUAAUCAUCAUGGACUGCCUCCAUGGAGAGGACCAUACAGUUCAGCCUAUGAACAUGGGGCCAGUGUGUGAGGUGUGAAGGCUUACUGAUUUGAAGGUGUGAGGGCAAAUAACAAUUCCAAUUGGUGAAGUAGAAAUGGGUUCUGGUCUGGCACGGAACUCCCUCGAAUCUAUUCGGUUAGGUGCAAACAUGACUGCCUUUCUGAAUAUUAUUUUUUAAAUGUUAUCUUGGUAGAACAGUUUGCCCCAUCUAGGCCGCUGAUGUUAAAGUCUUCCUGGUGUCUGUUCACUGCUCAACAGCCCUCUAGAAGCACCCCUGUAGUGAGCCCCCCACCAUGAUGGGUAUGAUGAGCACAACGGAGCUGGACUGCAAAGAUGCACUGGCUCCUUUGGCAAUGUUGUUCUUGGUGACAUCAGGCAUCUUGGUCAUGUUGGAACUCGCACCUCCAGCUUUGGUCGUAGCAUUCAUGGCAGGGGACUGUGUGGUAGGGUCUUGCGCGUGGACCUAAAACAGGAAAACAGAGGAGCUUGUCACAUGUGGAAAAUACGUAAACCUGAAAUAUUUGACUAACCGGGACAAUUAUCAAUAGGACCUCACUUUCGUACGACUAAUUUUAAAAAGGGCAAACGUUCAGCUAGGUACACAGAGUAGCCUAGGCAGUAAAAAUACAAUAACCCUAUGGAAAUUUGUUCCAACGAAUUGCACCUUAGAAAUCUUAAUACAAGUAAGUGCCAUCACCUUGUGGACAAUGUUAUCCAUAGCCUCUAGGAUCAUGGGCAACGUCCUGCAUUUUAAUUGCGAAGUGGAGGAUUAAAAAAAUACCGUCCCGCUCAAAUUACAUUAGCCAGCCUACACAUGUCAUAGUAACGUUAGAUCAAGGAUUCAGUAGCCCAUCUGAAGAGGCGUCACCGUUCCACAUUGCGCUGGAACGCUAGAUUUUGGCAACAUGUCGUCAAUCAUAUCCACUGAAACCAUCUGAAGUCAAUUAUACGCGCCAUCGUUCGCUUGUCAAUGAGAUUGGGGAAAAAAGUCAAUGUCAAAAAUCAUACAUUUAAGAUUUAUGGUAACACAUUUCUGUUUGAUUAAUAAGCCAUAUUGAACGUUACACCUGUCUGGUUGAAAUACAUUUACUCUCCAGAAUAAUGGGUAGCCCAAUUCAAAUCUGGGUUCACCUGAAACAAACAUGGUAAAAAGUACAUUUUAGGGGAAAAGUCCUGACCUGUGACGAAAAACGCAUGGCAAGGAGAAGGAACCCAAUGUAAGCCAUCACCAUUUUAGUCAUCUUGUUAUUGGUUUCUUCCCUGCACCAAUUGCGCGUAAUGUAGCUUUCCUGCCUUCGUCUUUUCUCAAGAUAAAUGACAGGAGGACAAACCCAGGGGGAUUUAUACCACCACCGAUUGUGACGUUGGGCAACACUGCGCAUCUCCCAAACCACCUGUUCAGCCUUCCAAUCAAAUGGAAACCUACAGUUUAUCAGAAACAUCCCAUAAACUACACAUCUGAGACCUCUUCUUAUACGUUUUAGGGUGUGCCUGUCAGCAAUACAAAUAGCCUUUGUGUUUAUUAUCAUUGUCUUUUGAUAUGAAUUCACUGGCGUUACUUCCGGCGCCGACAGAGAUGGCCGCCUCGCUUCGCGUUCCUAGGAAACUAUGCAGUUUUUUGUUUUUUUACGUGUUAUUUCUUACACUAGUACCCCAGGUCAUCUUAGGUUUCUUUACAUACAGCCGACAAGAACUACUGAAUAUAAGAUCAGCGUCAACUCACCAUCAGUACGACCAAGAAUAUGUUUUUCGCGACGCGGAUCCUGUGUUCUGC